UUGAAUAAAAUUGGUGUCGAGUUGUUGCUGGCUUUUCGGAGUAAUGUGCACGCUCAAACCAUUUUUAUUAAACCACCUGUGCACCUUUGUAGACUCCAAAUACAUUGAGAAUCCGCUAGUUAACUCCUAGCUUUUCUCGUAUUUGGAUCUAUGUCUUUAUAUACCCCAUAAUAGUCUCAGAAUGUGAUGGUAUAGGGCCUUUGCGCCUUUAAAAAUUGAAAUAACUUUCAACAACGGAUCUCUUGGCUCUCGCAUCGAUGAAGAACGCAGCGAAAUGCGAUAAGUAAUGUGAAUUGCAGAAUUCAGUGAAUCAUCGAAUCUUUGAACGCACCUUGCGCUCCUUGGUAUUCCGAGGAGCAUGCCUGUUUGAGAGUCAUAAUAUUCUCAACCUCUCUUAACUUUGUUUUAAGUGAGGCUUGGAUUAUGGGAGUUGCGGGCUUUUUCUUUAUUAGAACAAUCCGCUCUUCUUAAAUAUAUUAGUGGAGUCUUUGACCGAUCAUCUUUUUAGUAUGAUAAUUAUCUAUACUAUUGGGACUCGGUUGUUUACCCUGUAUUAAAGGGGAGGAUUCCGCUACUAACCGUCUUUAUUAAGACACUAUACUAUGACAUUUUGACCUCAAAUCAGGUAGGACUACCCGCUGA
rnacentral:rRNA from 1 species